AGAAAUUUGGUUCGUAGUGCACAAGGGUCAGAGUGGUCAUACCCUGAAACAGGGGAGACUUUAACUAAUAAACUGUACUAAAUGGAUAAACCAAAAAUUCUGGAAAUUUUAUGGGAGAAAGGUAUAUGAAUCUAGUUUCAAGUAAAAUUAACGAAACUUAAUUUGGAGUUUCGUAGCUCCAGAUAUAAAUAAUUUAGUGACUAUUGCUCAGGAAGACAGCUUGCAGUGAACUUGAGAAUAUGUUGUAAACAUUGAUAAAACAAGUUAAUGAGUUGCUUAUUGUUUUCAUAUGAACUUACUAAGCGAAAGCUUACCCCCCUUCUUUCCCAUGUUUUCUAUAGUUUCCAGGUUAGCUCGGGUUGAAGGCCGUCAGAGAUAUUAUCACACUGUCGAGUUAACGCUAUCGGCGUAAGUAAACUCAAGUGAUUCUAAUCUAUGGCAUGUAUAGGGUUUUAAUGUGAGUAUGUAAUAUUAUGAUUUAGCCAAAGGCAUUGGCUUGUUAUUAAGGUAGUAUUAGUCAUGUAAAUUGACAUAUGUCGGCUAAUGUCGUUAUGGGCCCAUAUGAUUAUUCUUAUGCAUGUAUGUUAUUAUCUCUUAUGAUGUGACUUACAACAUAUAUGCCUAGAGAUUGAAUUGAGAUUCAUUGAUGACAUGUUGAUAGCUAUAGCAUUAACAUGGUAAAGAUGAAAGAAAAACUUAUUGUAAUGGUUGCAUGUGAAAUUACCAUGGUCAUGUUAUGUUAGGAAGGUUUAAGUGCCUAAUUUUUUCAUGUUGUAUGCUAUUGUAUAAGUAUGCAUGCAUGUGUUGUAAGUGUGACAAAAUGGCUUGGAAAAUAGCCUUGUAUUUGUCCAGGUUUUGGACAUGGGUUCGGGACACGAGCGUGUUCUUAGCACCCGGGCGUGUGUUCUAUACCUAACGGGCGUGUGGAGCCUUGAUACAAGAGAUUUCCUAAGUUUUUCAUGAGUUCUCGGUUGGGUCCCGAACCAUCCCGAAUGCAUGUAUUGGGCCUCGUAAGCUCGCAUAAAGGACAGAUUGCAUGAGAAAAGAAAAGUUUUUAAUUAUUUGAGAUUUCAUGGCCCUGUUUAGUAUGGAAGUGUUAGUAAAAGUCAGGUAGCACCUCGAACCCCGUCCAGGCGUCGGAUGCGGGCGAGGGGUGUUACACAUAACCUCGGGAAAAGGAUUGGCUCUUAGGGUUGGGCACGAGGGUCCUAGUCCCGAACUUAUUGGCUGUCGUUGCACUACUCGAGCUGUACCCAGGUGAAAGCAGUUCACCAUGUGCCGGUUGGGGGACAGAUAGGGAACAGCUCUAUUGGGGGCUUUCCCCAGAUGACGAACAGUCGACUCAGAACUGGAACAGAUAAGGGGAAUCUGAUUGUUUUAGUAAAACAAAGCAUUGCGAUGGUCCUUGUGGAUGCUCACGCAAUGUAAUUUCUGCCCAGUGUUCUGAAUGUCAAAGUGAAGAAAUUCAACCUAGCGCAGGUAAACGGUGGGACUAACUAUGACUCUCUUAAGGUAGCCAAAUGCCUCGUCAUCUAAUUAAUGAUGUAUAUGAAUGGAUUAACGAGAUUUUCACUAUCCCUAUCUACUAUCCAGCAAAACCACGGCCAAAGGAAUAGGCUUGGCAGAAUCAGUGGGGAAAGAAGACCCUAUUGAGCUUGACUUUAGUCUGACUUUGUGAAAUGACUUGAGAGGUGUAGGAUAAGUUGGACCUCUCGGGCGAAAUUGAAAUACCACUACUUUUAAUGUUAUUUUACAUAAUCCUUGAAUCGAGGCAGGGUACGACCCCUUUUUUUCGACCCAAGGCUGGCUUCGGCCGAUUGAUCUGAGUGAAAGACAUUGUCAGGUUGGGAGUUUGGCUGGGGCGGAACAUCUGUUAAAAGAUAAAGUAGGGUCCUAAGAUGAGCUCAACGAGAAAAGAAAUCGUGUGUGGAACAAAAGGGUAAAAAAUCGUUUCAGUCUGAUUUCCAGUAUGAAUAGAAACUGUGAAAGCAUGGCCUAUCGAUCAUUUAAACCUUCGGAAUUUGAAGCUAGAGGUGUCAAAAAAGUUACCAUAGGGAUAACUGGCUUGUGGCGGCCAAGCGUUCAUAGCAAUGUUGCUUUUUGAUCCUUCGAUGCCGGCUCUUCCUAUUAUUGUGAAGCAGAAUUCACCAAGUGUUGGAUUGCUUACCCACCAAUAGAGAACGUGAUUUGGGUUUAGACCGUCAUGAGACAGGUUAGUUUUACCCUACUGAUGGCCACGUCGCAAUCAACCUAGUACAAGAGGAAUCGUUGAUUCGCACAAUUGAUAAUCGCGCUUGGUUGAAAAGCCAGUGGCUCGAAGCUACCGUACGCUAGAUUAUGACUAAACGCCUCUGAGUCAGAAUCUGGGCUAGAACUGACGCACACACCUGUCGCUUGAUUGCUGUCCCGCAGUAGGGGCCUCUAGCUGCCAAGGGCAUGUGUCGUAGGUGCAGCAAUUACCGCGGACAAGUCGCGGGUGCCUCCUUGGAGCGUAAUUCCCACCGAACGAUGGGUAGAAUCCUUUGCAGAUGACUUAAAUACACGACGGGUUAUUGUAACUGGUAGAGUGGCCUUGCUGCCACGAUCCACUGAGAUUCAACCCUUUGUCGCUUCGAUUCAACCCUUCCGUAUCG
rnacentral:rRNA from 1 species